UAGAGUGUAACUUGAAACACAAGAAGGAGCAAACCAAAAAGGGGAUCCAGAAACAAUCAACAUUCAACCACGAAAACAGAGAAGAACCAACGCUAAUACUCCCUUUUAUAAGAAUCUAUAGUGGAGAAGGUUCAAGAAUUCGACAACACAGAGAAGGAUGAGAAAGGAGAUUCGGCAGAGGGGACUAAAUAACUAUUCGGUCAAAACAAAACAAGAAAAGAAAAGUAAAAGGGAAAAGCAGAAAAAAAAGAACAAACCCGAGAGGUACCCGAAGUUUUUAGCAAAAUUCGGCACAAGUAAAAUUUGAAAGAAAAAACUGACCAAGGCCGAAGCAAACGGAGAAAAAACAACAACCCCAAAAUUGAUUCCCUCAAUGCCUAAAGACCAAAUUCAGCAUAAGCAUACCCCCAA
rnacentral:lncRNA from 1 species